AGCAGGUGUUGCACAAGAUGGUGACGUUUGGGCAAGGGCUGCUAGAGGUAACAGAGCGAGCCCUCGCUGCUAAAAAAGCGCUCCCUUGCCCGGCCGGCUGUCAGGUAGGCUGCAGUACGUGGUGGGCUCGGGUUCGGCCCAUUACUUCUCGGGCGAACGCUGCGUGGCUGCAGCGGAGACGGGACGCAGGGUCAGCACGGCUCGGCGGGAGCUCCUGCGCCGCCCCGCACCAGCCGCUCCUCCGGCGGUCGCGGUCCCGGCGCCCCCCACCGACCCCCGGGCGCCUCCACAGCCACCACUUCCCCCGGGACCGGCGGCCACCCGCACCGCGUCCGACGCGUGGGACAGCGCUCCCACCCAGAGUGAAACACGAGGCGCCUCGCCCCGGCGCCGAAGAGAGAGCAGGGCCCGCCCGUCGCCCGUCUAAGGUCGUGGUUUUUUCAAGCAAAGAGCGAGGCGGCCCCGCCCGGCGGCGAGUGCCCGCCCGCCCCCCGCCGCGCCCGGGCAGGAAGCGGAGCUGGGCGGCCCCUCCCAGCGGCGCGGCGCGGUUGGGCUUGCCUCGGCGCCUGCGCCCGCAGGAAAUGGAGGUGGCACGAGGAUCUGCCGCCGCUAUGUGCGUCUCGUGUGGGAAUCUGCGCGGCCACGGCCGUGCCGGGCUGAUGAAGAGGCUCUCCUGCCCGCGGACCCUUCCCCAGGGCGGCAGGCCCCUCGGUCCCUUUGUUCCCAGCUCCAGGACUGGCUGAGGAGGAACGACACUGGACGUGCUGAAGGAUUACCGUAAACAGUUUAGAAACUGUAACUGUUAAAGUCGUAGGCUGUUUGUGUAAAUCUGCCUGAUAACUGGUGCGGCCUCGUGAAAGGACUUCGUGUGAUGCCCUCCUGUGGCAACAACGUGUACUGAUACUUUAAAUCAAGAGGGAACAGAAGGGAAUUGGAAAAAGUGGUCCUUUUUCCCCAGCCUAAAGGGGUUUGAGGGUGUCUGCUUUUAUGCGUGAGGGCCUUUGGGCAGCCCUGGCAAAGUCCCCAGUUAGCUGCUGGGCGAGGUGUGGUUGGGGGUGUCCCUUCCUUUGAUGGUUCCUGUUGCUGCAAGCUCUGCAGGGAUGCCUGGAUCACUGCUGCAAGUCAGGGCAGCCUGUGGGGUUCAGGUGGCCAAUAGCAGAGCCUUAGGCAUGAGCUCCUGUCCUUCAGAGAAGAUGAAUUUUGCUAGUAUUUGCCAGUAAAUGCACAUAGUGAAAAGGAACACAAAGAAAAACGCUAACAGUUCAGCAGUGAGCCAGAGUUCCUGUAGACAUGCCAGAGAUGAGAACUGGUUUUGCCUCAUUGGAGACAUCCUUCAAUGCAGAGAAGUAGCUCUUGGAUGGACAGCUCAACACAGCUCUUCAAGAUGAGUGCUAUAUCAAGGAUUCCAGAUAAACUGAUACACUUGGUGUUAGUCAGCUCUGGGGUACUGUGCUGGCCCUUUAGCUUCGGUAGGAGAUGCCCCUUUUACUAUUAAAUACAGCUUCCAGUUCUGUACUGGUUUUGGCCCUUAGAGCCUCAGAGAGGUAUUGUACUUCCCUGUCUGGUGGACUUAUGCAGGCAGGUGAGGUGGAUGUGAACUUAAAGCUUGGUGCCAUACUGGUCUGAUUGAUAGACCCUGUGGUGGAAGCAGUGGCCUCCCUGUAAGGGAUUUAUAUAAAGGUAGCUCACAGUGACAGCUGGUUUUAAAAAAUGCAGGUUGUUUGUGCGUUUUCCUUUGUUGUAUAAACAUUUAAGCGACAGGGAUGGGAUUCCUAAGGGAGGAAAGCUUGGGUUAUUGCUGUCAGGUGAAGCUUUUAUUAAACAGAAACAUGCAAACUCAUUUCCCAUAUUGUUUUUAACCUAGUAGCCAAUUAUUGCUUGUUUGUUCUAUUGUAGCCUUAGCUGUCCUGUACCACACCUCGCUAUGACCACUGAGUCAUACUCUGCUGAGCAGGCCACUCCAUACUCAGCCAUCAGGCCUGCAUUCUCCAGCAGAUUAAACCAAGCUGGCAAUGUAAUGAUGGAGCUGUUUGGUACCUGUACAGCCCCAUGCCACAGGUGUCCGAGCACCUCGUGUUUGGCUCAGAAAAUCUGUCCUUGCAGCAGUCCUGCAGGAGGCUUGUAAAGGGCAGUUCACAGCUUGAAAAAGAGUUUGGAUUGGCUUCUUGCAUCAUCUGAGGUGAAUGGCUAAUCCUUGCGCCAGGGUACAGGUAUGGUUUAAACGCUUGAGGUGAAAGCUGCUGGUGGGGAGUGGUGGGACUGUUCAUAAGAGAACAGCUGCUUUCACCAGAAUUGUUGGGCUCACUAGCAGUCUUUCUGCAUUGAAGGCUUUGCUGGGAGGCUCAGACAUCCUCAUAUCUCUGCUCUGAUAUUUGCAUGUUUUACUCUUUCAGAUAUCUACUUGAAACGAAGUCGUGUCGCUCAAUUUUUGGCAGAUAAAGGUAAAACAUGUUCUAGUGAGUGGAAGUUGGACCCUGGAUCAAGUCAUACUUUUUUAAGCAAAGGGGAAAAAAAGUGUUAAAACAAAAAGGUGUUAAAACAACUUGGGUGGUGCUACCUCACCACUUCAUUGCCUGGCAGAGGAGCUGUAUGCGUCAGCUGCUGUUCUCUGGUACGGCCUUGCAAUGUCAGCAGGGCUUGCCUGGCCACCUCCUGCCCUCUGCGUUGGCAGCGCCGGCUGGCCGAGUCAUCCGUUUCUGCUGGACACAAGUUGUGCUCACAGCAAGUCUCUGGCCUGCUGCACAGGAGGUCUGACAAAGUGACCAUAACAACCCUUUCUGCACUGGAAAUCUCUUAAUUCCUGGUAGGCUAAGAAAUAACACUGUACUUGCGUAGCUGAGUGUUGCUAAACAUCUCCUUCUGAGGCCUGCAAAACAGAGAGCAAUUAGUACCAAGAGAGGAUGGUACUAAUCACUGCCGUAAUGACAUAUUCAGUUCCUGUCUUUAUGGUUUCUGCAAAGCCUGUUUUGGAGAGAUUUUAAGCUAUUUGGGGAAGAACAGGCAAGCAUUUGGCACAUGGUUCUACAUGAAAUCUCUUCAGUUUUGCCAGGCUCUGUUUGUUUGUAGGGACCCUGUGUAUUGUAGAGGCCGCUGCCUGUUCCCAACUAUCCCCUAGAAUGGGAACUUGAACCAACAAUUUUUGUGAUGAAUGUACAAUAAAUCUGUGGAAAAGCU